AGUACAUGAAAAACUAGCUGAGAGACACAACACAACACUGUCUUUUUUGUCUUAAAAUAACAACCAUGUCUUCUCUACUCUCUACAACUACAACUACACUUCAACAUACUCAUAAUAAAAUCUUCUUCUCUCCUCUAAAACUCACCACCUCAUUUAACAGUUCUUUCUCAGCAAACCAUUUCAACACUCAUUCUAUUAUAAGGUGCAAUGCACUUUCUGAUAUCAUCCCCAAAGACUUAUUUAAGAACACUUAUUAUUUGGAUCAGUUUCAGAGUGUGAGUGAGGACUUAACAGACAUGCAAAGGUUUGGGAUUUUGGUAUUUGUUGGGUUGACAUGGUUUUACUUAACUGCAAGACCAGGUGUUCUUUUUGGUGCCAUUGAUGCAUUCCUUUUGGCUCCAAUGCAAUUUGUUUUGGAUAGUUUAUCUGGAAGGAGAAACAUGAAAAGAAGUGAUUUCUUGAUUGGUAGUAAGAUAGGAGAAGGGUCAUUUGGUGUUGUUUAUUCUGGUGUUUUGGUUCCAAAGAAUGUGGAUGUAAAAGAGAUGAUGAUGCAGAAGAGUGGAAGAGGCAAUUUGGAUGCUAAUUCUAAGGAUAAAGUCAUUCUUAAAAAGGUAAAGGUUGGAGUUGAAGGAGCUAAAGAAUUUGGUGAUUAUGAAGAGUGGUUUAAUUACAGACUCUCCAGAGCAGCUCCUGAAACAUGUGCUAAGUUCCUUGGAAGUUUUGUAGCUGAUAAAAGCAAUUCCCAAUUCAUAAAAGGUGGAAAAUGGCUUGUUUGGAAGUUUGAGGGAGACCGUUCUCUUGCUGAUUACAUGACAGAUAAAAACUUCCCUUCAAACUUAGAGUCUGUCAUGUUUGGAAGUGUCUUGCAAGGUGUAGACUUUUCCAAAAGAAAUGCACUGAUCAUCAAGCAAAUAAUGCGCCAGAUCAUUACAUCUCUUAAGAAAAUUCAUGACACUGGCAUUGUUCAUAGGGAUGUAAAGCCUUCCAAUUUGGUUGUUACAAAACAAGGGCAGAUUAAACUCAUUGAUUUUGGUGCUGCAACAGACCUUAGAAUUGGAAAGAAUUAUGUUUCUAACUAUACGCCUUUGGAUCCUGACUACUGUCCACCUGAACUAUAUGUGCUACCACAAGAAACACAAAGUCUUCCUCCAGAACCAAUUGCAGCUUUACUUUCACCAAUCAUGUGGCAGUUAAACAGUCCUGAUCUGUUUGAUAUGUAUUCUGCUGGGGUUGUACUCCUUCAAAUGGCAAUACCAACAUUAAGAUCUCAAGCUGCUUUAAAGAAUUUCAAUUUGGAAAUGAGAACAUAUGGAUAUGAUUUGAACAAAUGGAAGGACUCCACUCGCAUGAAGUCGAACUCCAAAAUCCUUGAUAAUGAUUCCGGUAGAGGGUGGGACUUAGCAUCAAAACUUAUCUCCAAAAGAGAUUCCGGAAGAAGACAGCGUUUAUCUGCUGCUUCUGCUUUGAGACAUCCUUAUUUUCUUCUAGGUGGUGAUCAGGCAGCUGUAGUUCUUUCAAAAUUGAGCUUUAGCACAAAGUGACCUGCUUAUAUAUUUUAUGGAGAGCUCAUGUGAUAUGGACACAAAAGCUUCCAAUCUGAAAGCCAACGGACGUGACUAACUACACUUUUCAGCUGUUCAAAUCUACAUGUAAUUUAACUCUUGAAAAAACACAAGGAGUUGAAUAAACCAAGCCUAUAGGAUUGAAGGGAAACAAUACUUGAGGUGGAAGGUGAUUUUGAGAGAACAAUUGCAUAACCAUCAUCCAUAUUAUCUGUUCCUUCAGGAAAGACCUGCCACAAAAGGCUUCCAGCUCCACUCCCUCCUUUCUUUGUGGAGUUUAGGAUGGAACUAUACACAGUGUUUAUUAAUGUGUCUCUAUAUGUUGAAUUGUAGCCAGGAUCUUUUGAAGAUAUACCAAACUCGGAAAAAAUAACUGGCAUUCCAAGAUACUUUUCUGCAUCCUCUAUGUGAGCUUCCAUCCAAGAUUUUACAAAUGGGAGAUGAGUAUCAGCAAUUUGUGUUGAAAUCCUUCAAACAGAUCAUUGAUUGAGUUAGAAACUGUUGUAAUGUUCAUGUCAAAAGGUGAGCAUUUUUGGAAUUAGAUGAACCAAAUAUGUUCAUAACUAGACAGAAAGUGUUGGCUUAAAUAACUCUUUUGUCCUCUUAUUUGAUUUUAGUCCCUCUAAAAUAUUUUUUUCAGUUA